AAUAACUCUUGACUUCUGAACUCUGAACUCCACCAGCGGCUCUAACACUGAAGGAGUUCAUUCACUGCCUCCGCCCCAGAAUCACAGAUUCCCACCGAAGCGAAGCGACAGAAGCCAAGUCAUUUCAGGACUAUUUACUUUCCACAUGUCUGAGUUAUUUACUGCGCUUGAACCAGUUUGGUUGAGGAUGAAUCGCCAGUCUCAGCCUAACCUCCCCCUCCUGAUCCCUCCAUGGAUUCUUCGAAGAUUCAAGCUCCAAAAAUGAUUAUAGACCGACACUGGCUGUCCUACUCAGAGACUGAAGACUAUCCGAUGCAGUAGAGGAGCAUGUUGGUGUCUCUGGCCAAACAUCACGAACAGCCCAACAACCUGAAGACAAUCUGUUAGUGAUGGACAUCUCUCUGGUGGAGUGCAGAGAGGAACUUUCUCUUAUCAACAGAAACAUAAACUGGAUAAGAAAUGAUGGAUCUGAAUAUCAGGUUGGUCUGUUAUGUAAUGUACAUAUCUGGUAAUCUACCUGUUAAAAGAAAAUGUACUCUA